AGAAGUACAGCUGGAGGGUAGAGCGCUCGCUUUGCAUGCGAGAAGUCUGGGGUUCGAUUCCCCAUACCUCCA
rnacentral:tRNA from 1 species